GGCACUCAUUCAUCUUAUCCUCAGCGGAAUUUGUUGGCUUCUACCUACAAACCGGUAGUUGUAAGUCCUAUCUUUGUGGUUUUCUACCUACUAGCUGGUAGUUGUAAAAUCCCACUUUCAUCCCCUUGUUGGAGUUAACCCUGUGUGCUCAUCCUAUCGAUGACUGGUUACUUUUCCGUGGUUUUCUGCCUACUAACCGGUAGAUGUAAUCCCCUCUUU
rnacentral:lncRNA from 1 species